rnacentral:misc_RNA from 1 species
UCAGAAUCAGGUCACAAGAAUGAUUUUGCUGUUGAUUCUAGCUGCUCUGCGCCUGCAAUCAUUAAUCUCAUGGACUCUCUUUCUGCCGGAAGUUGGUCCAGAACUCGGAAGAGAACUUCUUCAUGCUGUUGUUCCUCUAGUUGGUUGUGUAAUUUGAAUCAAGAGAAUUUUGAAACAAUUAUUACCGUGUUGGAUUUGAAAUCUAAGGGUAUUAGCGAUAAGAACAUAUUUGAGAUUCUGGGAGAAGAGAGAUUGACAAAGGUUGGAGAGACGAUGCAGCAGUAUGGUAGCAAGAAGAAGUGUACUGCAAUGGGAGUCAUCAACAAGUCCACGAAGAAGAAAACCGACAAGUCAAAAUUAGAGUGAGG